UUUCUGCUUUGCAAACACAUAUGCCAACUUGGGCCCACUGAAUUGUUGGAACUUCUGGGACAUCAAGAGCUGAGCACUUCCAACUGCACUUCGGAUUUUCCCCAAAACUAUAGUAAAGCAAUAGGAAGACUGGUUAACACGUGGAGUUAC